AGUGCUGAGCCCUGGGCAAGUGUCUCCAGACAUCCCUACCUUUUCUCCCUUUUAUUAGUUUUCUUUCCCAACAGAACCCAUUUACUUUGCCACUAAAACUAGGUUGCAUCCAAAAGUUUCUAAACAAGCUUAAAAAAGAAAAAUUGACACCAUUAUACAGAAGAAUUCACAAAAGCUGCAGAGCGCCAGGGCAGAGAAGCAGCGACAGACACAGGCCCAGGACACACAGGACGGAUGUUUCCAAGUCACUCGAGGGACACAUGCCUGUGUCUCAGAAGUUGCUUCCCUGCCUCUACUCUGUGAAUUUCCCAAACUCUCUAACUCUGAUUCAUCUUCAUUCACUCUUCCCUGUAGUUUGUGUGUAAAGAGCCCUUAAAGCAAUAUGGUGGAGGGUAAGAGUUGUGAGCCGGUGGCAGGCAAGGCCUAAACUUGGUACAGCAAAGGAAAUUUCGUGGUACUUGCUCCUGAGUCUGGGAAUCACAGGCUAGCCAGCCUCUCCCCUAUUACUAGGAAACAGUAGAACUUAGGGAAAUGGAUGAUUCCAUGUUUAAGAGGCCUGAAAUUGUAUACUUGGCAUUUCUGAUUUCAGUUCUAAAAUUCUGUCCCUUCGUCAUAGAGAAAAUGAGAAAUGUAGUUACAACUUUUCAUUACAAAAACGUUGCAUUAAGAGAAAUGGAGAAUCAUGCCCACAUAAAACAUGUAUAGAAGUGUUCAUGAUUUGAUCAGGGCUGGGGAUAUAGCUCAGACAUCCGGCGCUUGCACAGCAAUGUGCAUAACCCAAGGUUCAAGCCCCAGCACUGACAAAGAGAAGCAGAAGGAGCAGAGGUAUUCACAGCAGCCUUUUCAAUAUAGGCAUGAAAGGGAGAGUUUACAUGCCGGUUGAGGAAUGGAGAGUGUAAAAUGGCUUGUCUAUAAAACUGGAUUCUGGUCAUCAGUAGAGAGGUCUGAAGUGAUAGAUAUGGUGGAUGAGUCUUUAAACAUCUUCCUGAGUAAUGAAGCCAACCAGAAGAAAGGCAGAUACUCCGUAUCUCUGGAGUAUAUAGGUAAACCAUUAUAGAGAAAAAGCACCAUACUGGUUACCUGGACUUGGAGUGAUGAACAGACUUUGGGAGACAGCAGAGUGGAACAGAAUUUACUUGAGUGGUGAUAAAAAAAAAAGUUCUUGAAUUAAUGGAAGUGAUGCUUGCUCCACUUGAUUGCUGCAUUUAAAAACCACUGAAUUUUACCUUUGGAUGGGUGAAUUCAUUGUAUUUCAAUAAAGCCAUGAAUAU
ensembl:antisense Gm11266 predicted gene 11266